AUACGGAGGGUGCAAGCGUUAUCCGGAAUCAUUGGGUUUAAAGGGUCCGUAGGCGGACUAUUAAGUCAGAGGUGAAAUCCCACAGCUCAACUGUGGUACUGCCUUUGAUACUGGUAGUCUUGAGUUAUAUGGAAGUAGAUAGAAUGUGUAGUGUAGCGGUGAAAUGCAUAGAUAUUACACAGAAUACCGAUUGCGAAGGCAGUCUACUACGUAUAUACUGACGCUAAGGGACGAAAGCGUGGGGAGCGAACAGGAUUAGAUACCCCAGUAGUCC
rnacentral:rRNA from 1 species